rnacentral:misc_RNA from 1 species
GAUGAAGAACGCAGCGAAAUGCGAUACUUGGUGUGAAUUGCAGAAUCCCGAGAACCAUCGAGUCUUUGAACGCAAGUUGCGCCCGAAGCCACUAGGCCGAGGGCACGCCUGCCUGGGCGUCACACGCCGUUGCCCCCCCAUCUACUCCUUCGGGAUUGCGGGGGGGCGGAUGAUGGCCUCCUGUGCGCCUAGCCGCGCGGUUGGCAUAAAUACCAAGUCCUCGGCGACGCACGCCACGACAAUCGGUGGUUGCGAAACCUCGGUUGCCCGUCGUGUGCGUUCGUCGCGCAUCGAGGGCUCGAAAAAAUGCUCGGCUCCGGCUGGGCUUUCAACGCGACCCCAGGUCAGGCGGGGUUACCCGCUGAAUUUAAGCAUAUCAAUAAGCGGAGGA